GACAGAGGGUGCAAACGUUGUUCGGAAUUACUGGGCGUAAAGCGCGUGUAGGCGGCUAAGUAAGUCGGGCGUGAAAUCCCACGGCUCAACCGUGGAAGUGCACUCGAAACUGCAUAGCUAGAGUCCUGGAGAGGAAGGUGGAAUGCUUGGUGUAGAGGUGAAAUUCGUAGAUAUUCGGAAGAACACCAGUGGCGAAGGCGGCUCACUGGACUGGUAUUGACGCUGAGGUGCGAAAGCGUGGGGAGCAAACAGG
rnacentral:rRNA from 1 species